rnacentral:rRNA from 1 species
GACGAACGCUGGCGGCGUGCUUAACACAUGCAAGUCGAACGAAAAUACCAAGCUUGCUUGGUUGAUUAGUGGCGAACGGGUGAGUAACACGUGAGUAACCUGCCCCUUACUUUCCUGGAUAACUGCUCGAAAGGGUAGCUAAUACGGGAUAUUCUGACCAGCCUGCAUGGGUUGGUUUGGAAAGGUUGUUUUUCUGGUAAGGGAUGGGCUCGCGGCCUAUCAGCUUGUUGGUGGGGUGAUGGCCUACCAAGGCUUUGACGGGUAGCCGGCCUGAGAGGGUGGACGGUCACACUGGGACUGCGGUACGGCCCAGACUCGUACGGGAGGCAGCAGUGGGGAGUAUUGCACGCGGGGGGCUGGCCUGAUGCAGCCACGCCGCGUGAGGGAGGAAGGCCUUCGGGUUGUACACCUCUUUCGUCAGGGAACAAGGCACUGCUUUUGUGGUGGUGUUGAGGGUACCUGGAUAAGAAGCGCCGGCUAACUACGUG